GACGAACGCUGGCGGCGUGCUUAACACAUGCAAGUCGAACGGAAAGGCCCUGCUUGCAGGGUACUCGAGUGGCGCACGGGUGAGUAACACGUGGGUGUUCUGCCCCGCACUUCGGGAUAAGCCUGGGGAACUCGGUCUCAUAUCCGAUAGGAGCCCUUCUUAUUGUUGUGGUUGGAAAGUUUUUUCGGUCUAGGAUGGGCUCGCGGCCUAGCAGCUUGUUGGUGGGGUAAUGGCCUACCAAGGCGGCGACGGGUAGCCGGCCUGAGAGGGUGGACGGCCACAUUGGGACUGAGAUACGGCCCAGACUCCUACGGGAGGCAGCAGUGGGGAAUAUUGCACAAUGGGCGGAAGCCUGAUGCAGCGACGCCGCGUGGGGGAUGACGGCCUUCGGGUUGUAAACUCCUUUCGCUAGGGACGAAGCGUUUGUGACGGUACCUAGAGAAGAAGCACCGGCUAACUACGUG
rnacentral:rRNA from 1 species